rnacentral:misc_RNA from 1 species
AAGUCAUAACAAGAUCUCCAUUGAUGAAUCAAUGGAGGGAUCAUUACUAAGUCAUAUGCUUAAACAAUCCUUCUAUGGACCUGAAUUAAACCAUUGCCUCAGUGGAUGAUCCCCUGCCAAAACCCAUGUGGUUAUGGAUAGAGGACCAGACAAUCUAGCACACUUAAGGCAUCCGGCAUCAACCACUAACCCUAACCAAUUAAACUCUAGUAAUCUUACCUUCUGAGUUUUAAUACAAAAAAAAAUAAGUCAAAAUUUUCAACAAUAGAUCUCUUGGCUCUG